rnacentral:rRNA from 1 species
UACGUAGGGUGCGAGCGUUGUCCGGAAUUAUUGGGCGUACAGGGAGCGUAGGCGGUUGGAUAAGCCCUCCGUGAAAUCUCCAGGCUUAACCUGGAAAGUGCAGAGGGGACUGUUCAGCUAGAGGAUGGGAGAGGAGCGCGGAAUUCCCGGUGUAGCGGUGAAAUGCGUAGAGAUCGGGGAGGAAGGCCGGGUGGCGAAGGCGGCGCUCUGGAACAUUUCUGACGCUGAGGCUCGGAAAGCGUGGGGAGCAAACAGG